CUGCCAGAAUGUUUGACAGUGGUUAGUCUGUUCUCCUCUUCAAAAUCAGGCAGCUUACUAGAGAGUGACAUCACAGGGGAUGAGACACAUCCGUCUCUACACUCUCUGCUUCUACAACCUGUCCAACGUAUCCCGGAAUACCAUACGCUCCUCCAGAGACUUGUACAGCAGACAGAGUCAGAGCAUCCAGACUAUUACCUGUUACUGGUGUCUGUGCAACAACUCCGAUCUUUCAUGACCCGUUACAGCCAUCUGCUACAGCACAACCAGGAGCUCCUCACACAGUCAUGCCCUGCGAGAACACACACACAACCUGUGCACACACCAGCAGGAGCGGCCCUCACACACCCGAAAAGAGCUUAGCAGGUAAGUUCAAAUCAACAAAUACGUGUGUUUUUGUGUUGUAAGUUUUACUGGCUCUUGUUUUUAAUGUCAGGUCUACAGUGAGACAGCUGUAUAAAGUCGACUAUGAGAAAAAUUACAGCAACACCAGUGCACAAAAUGAUCCUUCUCGACGUAACAAACACUACACUGACUAUGAAGCGGCACCCUAUCACUACGACCCAGAAAUCCCGUCCGACUCUGACUCUCGCCACAAAGCCAUCUCAGUUCCUCUGCGCAGCAUUCCAGAGACAGAUGGAGCGGGAUCUGUCCUCUCUGAUGCACUGGGUGUGCUCUUUCCCUACAGAGCUGGAGGCUCUCGCUGCUCAAGCCCGUCUCAUUCCUCUGACUCCAGCAUUGAUAUCGCCUUUGUGCAUUGUAGUCCUUCUCAUAGUCCACCUAGACAGUACCACAGUAGGGGGCGUAGUGCUGGGGGUGUGGUUUAUAGGUCCAACAGAGGCUGCGUGUCACCUGACUCAGCAGAUAUUGUGAGACCACGCCCUCUACAGGCAGUGCAGAGAAAGAGCAAAUCACUAAACGGCCUGCAGCUGGACAGUUUUGAUAUCCACGCCCACCAGACAAAAACUCCCGCCCACCCAAGGCUGGAGCGCCAGUCAAGUGGCAAAUCAAGAAAGAGACCCAGCAGUCCAAAACACAGAUAUGAGACACACACUGACACAGAGGAGCAGCCACGACUAAUAAAUCAAAAGGAUGCUAGAAGCCUGGUGUGGGAGGAGAUCAAAUUGAGGGGUGUGUCUGAUGACUAUGACCACACCCCCUUGAGUGAGCGCAAUAGGAAAGAAGGAAAAGGAUUUAGGAACUCCUUCAAAAAGCUCUUUAAGAAGAAGUGAGUUAAUAAGAGGAGACACACGGCUACUUUGCACGUCCUCACAUUUAAAGCCAUGAUACUUUGUGUGUGUGUGCGUGUCAGGUCUAGUGGGGACGGAAAGGAGAAGACAACAGUGAAAGCUGAGUGUCAAAGCAGUGGAGAGCUGGAGACCACCAAAGCCCCUCACACAGGAGACAUUGACAGAGGAACUUUUACUUUUUUUUACUAAGUGGUUCUCAACUGGUUUUGUGUCAGGGUACAGAUUUUACAAUGAACUUCAAGUGGUGAUCCAACACAAUACCACAAAUGCUUGGUCUUUAGUGUUCGCUCUCUAAAUAUUUCUGGAAUGUUGAGGGUUUCAUGCUUUCGGACACAAAACAUUUUGCUUGAGUAAUCAAUUAUUAAUAUAAUUUUGGCCAGAAGUUUGAGAACAUUUGGUUCUUGCAUUGUUUAUGCAGAUAUAUACUCACACAUAUAAACAAACAGGCACACUUAUCCAUCUUUUGUUCAGUUUAUGCUGGGCUGCACUGACAGGAUGCAAAACUGUAUCUGAUAAAAUGUAUAAUGUUAAUUACUCAUAAAUAAAAAUACUGCUAUAAAUACAUGUUGUAUAC
ensembl:lncRNA